rnacentral:rRNA from 1 species
AUUACCGAGUGCGGGCCCUCGUGGCCCAACCUCCCACCCUUGUCUCUAUACACCUGUUGCUUUGGCGGGCCCACCGGGGCCACCUGGUCGCCGGGGGACAUCUGUCCCCGGGCCCGCGCCCGCCGAAGCGCUCUGUGAACCCUGAUGAAGAUGGGCUGUCUGAGUACUAUGAAAAUUGUCAAAACUUUCAACAAUGGAUCUCUUGGUUCCGGCAUCGAUGAAGAACGCAGCGAAAUGCGAUAAGUAAUGUGAAUUGCAGAAUUCCGUGAAUCAUCGAAUCUUUGAACGCACAUUGCGCCCCCUGGCAUUCCGGGGGGCAUGCCUGUCCGAGCGUCAUUUCUGCCCUCAAGCACGGCUUGUGUUUGGGUGCGGUCCCCCCGGGGACCUGCCCGAAAGGCAGCGGCGACGUCCGUCUGGUCCUCGAGCGUAUGGGGCUUUGUCACUCGCUCGGGAAGGACUGGCGGGGGUUGGUCACCACCAAAAUUUUACCACGGUUGACCUCGGAUCAGGUAGGAGUUACCCGCUGAACUUAAGCAUAUCAAUAAGCGGA